GGGGAUAUAGUAUAGUGGGAUUACUGCUGACAAUUGCGGACACGGGUUCGAUUCCCGUUAUCUCCACCA
rnacentral:tRNA from 1 species